rnacentral:rRNA from 1 species
GAUGAACGCUAGCUACAGGCGUAACACAUGCAAGUCGAGGGGCAGCAUGGUCUUAGCUUGCUAAGGCUGAUGGCGACCGGCGCACGGGUGAGUAACACGUAUCCAACCUGCCGUCUACUCUUGGCCAGCCUUCUGAAAGGAAGAUUAAUCCAGGAUGGCAUCAUGAGUUCACGUGUCCGCAUGAUUAAAGGUAUUUUCCGGUAGACGAUGGGGAUGCGUUCCAUUAGAUAGUAGGCGGGGUAACGGCCCACCUAGUCAACGAUGGAUAGGGGUUCUGAGAGGAAGGUCCCCCACAUUGGAACUGAGACACGGUCCAAACUCCUACGGGAGGCAGCAGUGAGGAAUAUUGGUCAAUGGGCGAUGGCCUGAACCAGCCAAGUAGCGUGAAGGAUGACUGCCCUAUGGGUUGUAAACUUCUUUUAUAAAGGAAUAAAGUCGGGUAUGCAUACCCGUUUGCAUGUACUUUAUGAAUAAGGAUCGGCUAACUCCGUGCCAGCAGCCGCGGUAAUACGGAGGAUCCGAGCGUUAUCCGGAUUUAUUGGGUUUAAAGGGAGCGUAGAUGGAUGUUUAAGUCAGUUGUGAAAGUUUGCGGCUCAACCGUAAAAUUGUAGUUGAUACUGGAUGUCUUGAGUGCAGUUGAGGCAGGCGGAAUUCGUGGUGUAGCGGUGAAAUGCUUAGAUAUCACGAAGAACUCCGAUUGCGAAGGCAGCCUGCUAAGCUGCAACUGACAUUGAGGCUCGAAAGUGUGGGUAUCAAACAGG